GAUGGACGCUGGCGGUCUGCUUAACACAUGCAAGUCGAACGAACUCUUCGGAGUGAGUGGCGGACGGGUGAGUAACGCGUGAGAAUCUGCCUUCAGGUCUGGGACAACAGAAGGAAACUUCUGCUAAUCCGGGAUGAGCCUUUUGGUAAAAGAUAAAUUGCCUGGAGAUGAGCUCGCGUCUGAUUAGCUAGUUGGUGUGGUAAAAGCAUACCAAGGCAACGAUCAGUAGCUGGUCUGAGAGGAUGAGCAGCCACACUGGGACUGAGACACGGCCCAGACUCCUACGGGAGGCAGCAGUGGGAAUUUUCCGCAUGGGCGAAAGCCUGACGGAGCAAGACCGCGUGGGGGAGGAAGGC
rnacentral:rRNA from 1 species